rnacentral:rRNA from 1 species
GGAAUAUUGGACAAUGGGCGCAAGCCUGAUCCAGCCAUGCCGCGUGGGUGAUGAAGGCCCUAGGGUUGUAAAGCCCUUUCGGCGGGGAAGAUAAUGACGGUACCCGCAGAAGAAGCCCCGGCUAACUCCGUGCCAGCAGCCGCGGUAAUACGGAGGGGGCUAGCGUUGUUCGGAAUUACUGGGCGUAAAGGGCGCGUAGGCGGGCGCAUAAGUCGGGGGUGAAAUCCCGGGGCUCAACCCCGGAACUGCCUCCGAUACUGUGUGCCUCGAGGACGGGAGAGGUGAGUGGAAUUCCGAGUGUAGAGGUGAAAUUCGUAGAUAUUCGGAGGAACACCAGUGGCGAAGGCGGCUCACUGGCCCGAUCCUGACGCUGAGGCGCGAAAGCGUGGGGAGCA